CCUACGAGUGGCAGCAGUGGGGAAUAUUGCACAAUGGGGGAAACCCUGAUGCAGCGACGCCGCGGGAGUGAAGAAGUAAUGCGAUAUGUAAAGCUCUAGCAGCAGGGAAGAAAAUGACGGUAACUGAGGAAGAAGCGCAGGCUAACGAAGUGCACGCAGCCGCGGUAAUACGUAGGGGGCAAGCGUUAACCGGAUUUACUGGGUGGAAGGGGAGCGUAGACGGCAGUGCAAGUCUGGAGUGAAAGGCGGGGGCUCAACCCCCGGACUGCUCUUGACACUGUACGUCUGGAGUGCAGGAGAGGUAAGUGUAAUUCCUAGUGUAGCGGUGAAAUGCGUAGAUAUUAGGAGGAACCCCAGUGGCGAAGGCGGCUUACUGGACUGUACCUGACGUUGAGGCUCGAAAGCGUGGGGAGCAAACAGGAUUAGAUACCCCGGUAGUC
rnacentral:rRNA from 1 species